ACAUUGCUGACGCCCAGAAAAAGUCUCCGCUCUCAGGAGUAGAAUCCCUCUGCGGCUGCGCACACCCCCUGGUCAAUCUGUACUCGGUAUAAAUUAGCUGAGGUGCAGAUCUGAAUGGUACGGUAAGCGGAUGCCCGUAUGGAUGAAAGGGACCUCAGGGAGCAGCAUUCAGGACCCUGCCCACUCUCCCACCCCCAUCCAAACACUCUCCAGGCCAAGAGUAGGGAGCUCUCCUGGCCCUGGGGAGGCACAGGGAGAACAACCCGCAACUCUGAUGCUGCAAAUGUGAAAAUUCCAACACUCCGAGGGAAGCUGUGUGCCGCCUGCUUCUCUGCCUUGGCGCUGGAACCUGAAAGACCCUCAGGUGGGGCCACCAACACUUGCCAUUUUUUUGUUCUUUUGUUGAUGGGUUUCUGUUUGGUUGCAAGUUGCGAAAGAAUUUUUUUUUAUCCCUCGACGAGAACCAUAUCCAUGUCAUCGUCAUGGAUGCCUGAAGUCUGGAGAAUGUUACAUGACAAAUCUGUGAUGUGCCGACUCCAGGAAGUCAUCCUCUGGGCUGUGGACUCAUCCCAUCAUUCCUAGGCGGUGACGGGGACUGGCCCCUGGGUCACUGGCUUUGAGGAGAAGGCUUCUCAACAAGUCAUCUCGGAGUGCGUGAAAUGCACAUACCCUGAAAAAAAAAAGAUGACUGAGUUCUCCAGACGAAGGGUAUCCAAGAAUUUUUUAAUGGAAAAAAAUUGACCUGCUUUGGAGGUGACAAAGGUGAAAGAUCUCAUGUGGCAAAUAUGAAAAUGUCAAGUACCAGGCAGAAAGGAAGAUGUUGCUCAUCACUGGCCGCAGGGCCACUGACUACAGAUAUCAAAUCCAGAUGUGGCCUAGAACCAUGAGCCAGGAAUCUCCACCAAAUAGUAAGAGUAACCCAACAAUCCGUCUCAUAUGAAUUGAAUAAAUAAACAUCAAUCAUCCAUUCAUUAAGCAAAUAUUUACUGAGCAUACACUACAUCAUAGGGCUGCGCUGAGGCCUGAGGGCACAAGUGAGAUUGGAGAGAUGCAAUAAAUGGGCAAUGACAAGUUGAGAGGGGGUCGUGUGGAGGGAGAGCCUCCCAGAGGAAGCGAGGCCGAAGCAGAUGUCUGCAGGAUCGAUGCUCCUCACCAGGCAGACUGACAGGAGCACAGGCAGAAACUGUCCUCUGCAGGGCUGGCACCCCGAAGGAAAGACAGCAAGGCAUCUGGGCGAAGUGAAGGGGAGUGGAGCCGAGGGGCCAAGUGAGAGGGGACAAAGGUGGCGAAAGAAGCAGGGACCCAUGGCGAAGGACCUCCUGGGCAUGCUCGGGGCUGGGAAUGUAUCCAAGGGCCCUGGGAAGCCGCUGGAGAUUGACUCUACGUGGAGACCAAGCCGUCGAACCUUCUCCGCCAGGAUUUAGUGGGGUUAUAGUAUUAAUGCUGAAUAUGGGUGUAUGAAUACCUACCCCCCAGGGCUACUCUUAGGAUUAAAUGUGGUAAUGCAUGUUGUAUCCACAAGCUUUCGCUAGAUUAUGCUGCAAACAACCCCCAAAUCUCAGUGGCUUACAACAACAAAGGUUUAUUUCGCGCUCCUGUUACAUGUUCAUUGUGGUUUGGCCGCACGUCUUUAUUCUGGGAACCAGACAGCCGGCUCCACCCCUCUCUGGGCCUGGCAGGGCUGGUGUGGAGGGAGGAAAGGCGGAACCCGCAACGACUCUCAGAGCUUCUACGCAGAAGUCUGUCACUUCCAAUCCCAUUCCAUUGGCCAAACUAGUCAUACUUGUCAUCAUUAGGGUGGGGCAUGUGACUGUCCCACAGGGAGGGGCAGCAAGCACUCGGGAACAAGAACGGAAUCUGCCACAAAUAUGAAGUGCGUAGGACAUUGCCUGGCAUGCGGAAAUUCCUCAAUAAAUUAUGAAAAUCCUUCACAUCUAUCUGUAAAAUGGGGAAAUAACAGUACCAGCCUCACAAGGGAGUCUAAGGGUUAGGAGAGGUAAUAUGCACGGGGCCUGGCUAAGUUGCUCAACAAAUGACAGCUACGGGCGAGGUUCUAAGGGAACAGGACACCCUGGGCCCAGGAAGGGGACACAAUCUGGCAGUUGAAGAAGGCCACGGCAAGGGAGCAUGUGCUG
ensembl:lncRNA